GGAAGUAAAAGUCGUAACAAGGUUUCCGUAGGUGAACCUGCGGAAGGAUCAUUACCGAGUGUAGGGUUCCUAGCGAGCCCAACCUCCCACCCGUGUUUACUGUACCUUAGUUGCUUCGGCGGGCCCGCCAUUCAUGGCCGCCGGGGGCUCUCAGCCCCGGGCCCGCGCCCGCCGGAGACACCACGAACUCUGUCUGAUCUAGUGAAGUCUGAGUUGAUUGUAUCGCAAUCAGUUAAAACUUUCAACAAUGGAUCUCUUGGUUCCGGCAUCGAUGAAGAACGCAGCGAAAUGCGAUAACUAGUGUGAAUUGCAGAAUUCCGUGAAUCAUCGAGUCUUUGAACGCACAUUGCGCCCCCUGGUAUUCCGGGGGGCAUGCCUGUCCGAGCGUCAUUGCUGCCCAUCAAGCACGGCUUGUGUGUUGGGUCGUCGUCCCCUCUCCGGGGGGGACGGGCCCCAAAGGCAGCGGCGGCACCGCGUCCGAUCCUCGAGCGUAUGGGGCUUUGUCACCCGCUCUGUAGGCCCGGCCGGCGCUUGCCGAACGCAAAUCAAUCUUUUUCCAGGUUGACCUCGGAUCAGGUAGGGAUACCCGCUGAACUUAAGCAUAUCAAUAAGCGGAGGA
rnacentral:rRNA from 2 species